AUGCUCGCUUUAGUAGCACGUAUACUAACAUUGGAACGAUAGAAGAUUAGCACGGUCCCUGUGCAAGGAUGACACGCAAAUUCGUGAAGUGUUCCAUAUUAAA